CCACUCCACAAUAGGAGACACCAGCUGAAGAUGCGAGAUAUUGCUGGGCAGGCCCUGGCUUUUGUUCAGGAUCUUGUGACGGCUCUUCUAAACUUUCAUACCUACACAGAACAGAGGAUUCAAAUUUUUCCUGUUGAUUCUGCCAUUGACACUAUAUCUCCAUUGAAUCAGAAGUUCUCACAAUACCUUCAUGAAAAUGCGUCCUAUGUCCGCCCUCUUGAGGAAGGAAUGCUUCAUUUAUUUGAAAGUAUCACUGAGGAUACUGUGACUGUCUUGGAGACAACUGUGAAAUUGAAAACUUUUUCAGAACACUUAACCUCCUACAUAUGUUUUCUUAGGAAGAUUCUUCCCUAUCAGUUAAAAAGGUAGUUACCCCCGGAGGCCAGGGAACUUGGGGAAUUGUGGGUGUAACCUGAUCUGGCUGGCGUUAAUAAAAUAUUAACAUGUG
rnacentral:sRNA from 1 species